GUCUUUGUAGUGUAACGGUAGCACACUCAGCGCGUAUUCGAGAAUUCCAGGUUCAAAUCCUGACGAGGGCG
rnacentral:tRNA from 1 species